rnacentral:lncRNA from 1 species
CCAGGCUUUUUACUUUGCUGUAUCUCUGCCCCCUGAGCCCUGGAGAAGUCAUGGAGUUCCUUGGCUGCCCUGAAAUCAGCAGUGCCCAGGAGUGGGACCAGUCACAGUGGAAGAUCUCCCACAAGGGAGAUUUCUGUAGAUCAGCUGGGAAAUCACUGGAUGCCCUCAGGACUGGUGAGUUCCUAGAGCUGGUAACAAUGCUGUUAACUUACACAGAGCUGCUCCAUCCUGGGCCCUUGCCAAUUGUCUGCUGUUCGUGCAGUAAAGGGACACUCUGAUGGCUCAUUAAGGGCGGCUCCAUUGUAUUUCAAACUUUUCUUUUCACCUGCUUUGCGUCUUUAUGAAAUAUCCAAGUCUAGGACUUUCAAAUCUGCCCAAAAGACUAGGGAGCAUAACUGCCGCUGGUUGAUUUGGUCUAGGUGUGGUACUGGUGUAGCAGAGUAGAAAUGCACUGCGAUAGGACAAGAUCUCAUCAUCACUAUGCCCAACAGAAAAAUAAACAUUUCAUCUCUGCCUCA